UAAGGAAUUGAGGAACAAUGAAGAUCAAAUGUCUACCUCAAACCCUGCUUUUACAAAAGCAGAAUAAAGUGAAAUGAAACGAAAAUGA
ensembl:misc_RNA